ACAGGAUUUGAGAAUGAUACUAUUCUUGCAUUAAUUGUAUUUUCUCUACAGUAUAUUCUUGUAAACCAUGAAUAUUGGAAAGACAAGGCGAAGCAUACUCGCUGGAGAAUAACAUUGAAGGUAUAUUGAGAUGAUUUCUUUGGAGCAAUUCUUGACAACAUUUGUAGUUGAGGCCUUUAGAAUGGAAGAAUGUAUUUCACUAAUUUUUGUAUACAUUUCUUGUUUUGUAUUUAGUGAUAAAGGAAUCUGAAUUGGGCAUAAAUUAUGUUGUAAUAUGAUUUCUUAAGCCUAGACUAGUAGACUAAAUAUUGUAAUUACAUUUGAGUAAUUAAUAAAAAUCUAUUUAUGUUA